CGCAAGCUCCGCCCCCUCAGACUACACGAGCCGAGGAGCUGCUGCUGCUGCAUGAAGCCUGAUAAUUUCAUGGUGACGGCUUGCUCGGACAGGGCGCCGUGAGACGCACGUUGCGGGACUAUGACGUCACCGGCCCGGCGCCCUGCACGAGACACACAUCGCUAGAUGCACAGGGUGUUCUUCUAUAAAGGUUCCAACUCCAAGAAACAGACAACUUCACUGUUUCACCCUUGGCAUCUCAAGGCCUUCUUCAAAUCUGAUCAAGUAACACAGUAUCCUCAAGCACCUUCUUCAGUGACCGUAGAAGAUGUGUCUUCAGUUUACUCUUGUUUUUUCUGUAGAGAGGAUGGACGAAGAUUUUACUUCUAACUGAAACAUCACCACAUACCAAAUUGCUUCUAGUCAUGGAUCCUGAUGAACUGACAUUAAAGUCAUGAAAAGAUCACAGAGCCGUGUUAAAUGUAUUCUUGCUGAAAUAGGACCCCAGACCAGACUGUGCUCCCCAAUCCCUCAAUGAAAAUAUUGUCUCCGAACAGACCACCUUAACCCGCCUGCAAUAAAGCCAUUUACAAAGAGAUCUCAGAUCUUUGGGGAAGCCCAAUACUUCUACUUACCCUCCUCCUUUUGCUGAAGCACCACUGUCCCUUAAUUGACAGUCUCUCGCUGGCAGCGUGUCUCUCUACAAGCACGCUCACUCUGUAGUUUAACCUGAUUGGCGAUAGCACCAGCCAUCCACCAGUGUUUAGAUACUCCCACGACUGUGAUUGGUGGAUGGCCACACCUAUGUUUGUGGUAGGAGCAUUAGGUCCUACCACUCUGAGAGGUAGAGUGUAAUUGCCUAUGUCUAGGCCAACUUAAAAAUAGUAAAUGUGUUGUCUCUGCUUUUUGGAAGAAAGUGUAACUUUUUAUCACCACUUCCAGUGAGAGAAUUAGAAGUGAGUAUAGGGACUGUACAUCAGGCACUAUAAAUUAAAGUGUUGUUCACAUUGUACAAAUUAAGGGACAUAUUAUCCCACAAAGAAUAAAUAAAAAUGG